GCGGCGUGACUGAGCUACGGUUCUGGCUGCGUCCUAGAGGCAUCCAGGGCAGUAAAACCGCUGCGAUCGCGGAGGCGGCGGCCAGGCCGAGAGGCAGGCGGGGCAGGGGUGUCGGACGCAGGGCGCUGGGCCGGGUUUCGGCUUCGGCCACAGCUUUUUUUCUCAAGGUGCAAUGAAAGCCUUCCACACUUUCUGUGUUGUCCUUCUGGUGUUUGGGAGUGUCUCUGAAGCCAAGUUUGAUGAUUUUGAGGAUGAAGAGGACAUAGUAGAGUAUGAUGAUAAUGACUUCGCUGAAUUUGAGGAUGUCAUGGAAGACUCUGUUACUGAAUCUCCUCAACGGGUCAUAAUCACUGAAGAUGAUGAAGAUGAGACCACUGUGGAGUUGGAAGGGCAGGAUGAAAACCAAGAAGGAGAUUUUGAAGAUGCAGAUACCCAGGUGAGGCUCUUUUUAUUAAUUUCUUGGAAAAAUUUGUAACUAGCACCUUUCCCAAACAUUAAAAUUAAUCCUCAGGCUCAAGAGACCUUUACUGUCUGGAGUCUUCAUUUUCAUUCACUAGGUAGAGCUCUUCUAAAUGUUUUGUGGUAAGU
rnacentral:sRNA from 1 species